GUCCACGCUGUAAACGAUGAGUACUAGAUGUCGGAGGUUUUGACCCCUUCGGUAUCGCAGCUAACGCAAUAAGUACUCCGCCUGGGAAGUACGGCCGCAAGGCUAAAACUCAAAGGAAUUGACGGGGGCCCCGCACAAGCGGUGGAGCAUGUGGUUUAAUUCGACGCAACGCGAAGAACCUUACCCAGGCUUGACAUGUAGAGAAUCCCUACGAAAGUAGGGAGUGCCUUCGGGAGCUCUAACACAGGUGCUGCAUGGCUGUCGU
rnacentral:rRNA from 1 species